rnacentral:rRNA from 1 species
GAUGAACGCUGGCGGCGUGCCUAAUACAUGCAAGUCGAGCGAACAGAUGAGAAGCUUGCUUCUCUGAUGUUAGCGGCGGACGGGUGAGUAACACGUGGGUAACCUACCUAUAAGACUGGGAUAACUCCGGGAAACCGGGGCUAAUACCGGAUAAUAUUUUGAACCGCAUGGUUCAAUAGUGAAAGACGGUUUGGGCUGCCACUUAUAGAUGGACCCGCGCCGUAUUAGCUAGUUGGUAAGGUAACGGCUUACCAAGGCGACGGUACGUAGCCGACCUGAGAGGGUGAUCGGCCACACUGGAACUGAGACACGGUCCAGACUCCUACGGGAGGCAGCAGUAGGGAAUCUUCCGCAAUGGGCGAAAGCCUGACGGAGCAACGCCGCGUGAGUGAUGAAGGUCUUCGGAUCGUAAAACUCUGUUGUUAGGGAAGAACAAAUUUGUUAGUAACUGAACAAGUCUUGACGGUACCUAACCAGAAAGCCACGGCUAACUACGUGCCAGCCGCCGCCGUAA